rnacentral:rRNA from 1 species
GGGAACUGCAUCUGAUACUGUUAAGCUAGAGUAGGUGAGAGGGAAGUAGAAUUCCAGGUGUAGCGGUGAAAUGCGUAGAGAUCUGGAGGAAUACCGAUGGCGAAGGCAGCUUCCUGGCAUCAUACUGACACUGAGGCUCGAAAGCGUGGGUAGCAAACAGGAUUAGAUACCCUGGUAGUCCACGCCGUAAACGAUGUCUACUAGUCGUUGGGGAACUUGAUUCCUUAGUGACGCAGCUAACGCAAUAAGUAGACCGCCUGGGGAGUACGGCCGCAAGGUUAAAACUCAAAUGAAUUGACGGGGGCCCGCACNAGCGGUGGAGCAUGUGGUUUANUUNGAUGCAACGCGAAGAACCUUACCUGGUCUUGACAUAUCUAGAAUCCUGCAGAGAUGCGGGAGUGCCUUCGGGAAUUAGAAUACAGGUGCUGCAUGGCUGUCGUCAGCUNGUGUCGUGAGAUGUUGGGUUAAGUCCCGCAACGAGCGCAACCCUUGUCCUUAGUUACCAGCGGGUUAAGCCGGGAACUCUAAGGAUACUGCCAGUGACAAACUGGAGGAAGGCGGGGACGACGUCAAGUCAUCAUGGCCCUUACGACCAGGGCUACACACNUGCUACAAUGGUAGGUACAGAGGGCAGCUACACAGCGAUGUGAUGCGAAUCUCAAAAAGCCUAUCGUAGUCCAGAUUGGAGUNUGCAACUCGACUCCAUGAAGUAGGAAUCGCUAGUAAUCGCGGAUCAGAAUGCCGCGGUGAAUACGUUCCCGGGCCUUGUACACACCGCCCGUCACACCAUGGGAGUUGAUUGCACCAGAAGUGGUUAGCCGAACC